rnacentral:lncRNA from 1 species
UUAUGAUAACCUUGCAGCAGCAACAUUAAUUUCCAUCCUUCAAAUUUACAUACGGAACAGGAUUGGACAUUUUCAAUCUUUGGUAAAUACAUGAAUAUUGUGCCACAGAACAAGAUUGGACACUGUCAAUCUUUGGUAUAAAGAAGCAAAUUAAAAAUAGAAAAGAAAAGGAACAAAAAUGAAAAAAAACUACUCCCCUUCUAUUAUUCAAACAAGAAGAUAAAUACAUGAAUAUUGCAAAAGAAGAAUUUUUAUUAUUCCCUCUUUAUCCUAUGUUUGUACUGCUGGGGUCACGGAUGAUGAAAAUGGCCUGGCGGGAAUGCUCCCCAAUUAUGCUUUGGGUGCUUUGGAUGCUUUGAAUGCCACGGUUGGUAAGGGGGCGGGGGCGAGGGUGGUGGAGGAGAAGGUGGUGGCGGUGGAGGCGGAGGCGGUGGUGGCGGUGGAGCCGGAGGCGGUGGCGGUGGCGGGCUUCUUGGUGAGCAACCGAAGGCACCACAGUCAACAGGAUGUGCAUAGAAUGACUUGCAUUCCAUAGCUGAUCGCUGCAAUGGCCUAUUAGG